rnacentral:rRNA from 1 species
AUUGAACGCUGGCGGAAUGCUUUACACAUGCAAGUCGAACGGCAGCACGGGGGCAGCCCUGGUGGCGAGUGGCGAACGGGUGAGUAGUACAUCGGAACGUGCCCGGUCGUGGGGGAUAACGUAGCGAAAGUUACGCUAAUACCGCAUACGAUCUGAGGAUGAAAGCGGGGGACCUUCGGGCCUCGCGCGAUCGGAGCGGCCGAUGUCAGAUUAGGUAGUUGGUGGGGUAAAGGCCUACCAAGCCGACGAUCUGUAGCUGGUCUGAGAGGACGACCAGCCACACUGGGACUGAGACACGGCCCAGACUCCUACGGGAGGCAGCAGUGGGGAAUUUUGGACAAUGGGCGCAAGCCUGAUCCAGCCAUUCCGCGUGCAGGACGAAGGCCUUCGGGUCGUAAACUGCUUUUGUACGGAACGAAAAGGCUCUGGCUAAUACCUGGGGCUCAUGACGGUACCGUAAGAAUAAGCACCGGCUAACUACGUG